UGGGGAAUAUUGGACAAUGGGCGCAAGCCUGAUCCAGCCAUGCCGCGUGAGUGAAGAAGGCCUUCGGGUUGUAAAGCACUUUUAUCAGGAGCGAAACGCUGUCGGCUAAUACCCGGCGGAACUGACGGUACCUGAGGAAUAAGCACCGGCUAACUUCGUGCCAGCAGCCGCGGUAAUACGAAGGGUGCAAGCGUUAAUCGGAAUUACUGGGCGUAAAGCGUGCGUAGGCGGUUUCUUAAGUCUGCUGUGAAAUCCCCGGGCUCAACCUGGGAAUGGCAGUGGAUACUGGGAGGCUAGAGUGUGUCAGAGGGUGGUGGAAUUCCCGGUGUAGCGGUGAAAUGCGUAGAGAUCGGGAGGAACAUCAGUGGCGAAGGCGGCCACCUGGGACAACACUGACGCUGAGGCACGAAAGCGUGGGGAGCAAACAGGAUUAGAUACCCUGGUAGUCCACGCCCUAAACGAUGCGAACUGGAUGUUGGUCUCAACUCGGAGAUCAGUGUCGAAGCUAACGCGUUAAGUUCGCCGCCUGGGGAGUACGGUCGCAAGACUGAAACUCAAAUGAAUUGAC
rnacentral:rRNA from 1 species